GACGAACGCUGGCGGCGUGCUUAACACAUGCAAGUCGAACGGAAAGGACCUGUGUUUGUGGUGUGCUCGAGUGGCGAACGGGUGAGUAACACGUGAGUAACCUGCCCUUGACUUUGGGAUAACUUCAGGAAACUGGGGCUAAUACCGGAUAGGAGCUCCUGAUGCAUGGUGGGGGUUGGAAAGUUUCGGCGGUUGGGGAUGGACUCGCGGCUUAUCAGCUUGCUGGUGGGGUAGUGGCUUACCAAGGCUUUGACGGGUAGCCGGCCUGAGAGGGUGACCGGCCACAAUGGGACUGAGAUACGGACCAGACGCCUACGGGAGGCAGCAGUGGGGAAUAUUGCACAGUGGGGGGAAGCCAGAUGCAGAAACGCCGCGUGCGGGAUGACGUCUUUCGGGUUGUAAACCGCUUUCGCCUGUGACGAAGGGUGAGUGACGGUAACGGGUAAAAAAGCACCGGCUAACUACGUG
rnacentral:rRNA from 1 species